AUUGAACGCUGGCGGCAUGCCUUACACAUGCAAGUCGAACGGCAGCACGGGUGCUUGCACCUGGUGGCGAGUGGCGAACGGGUGAGUAAUACAUCGGAACAUGUCCUGUAGUGGGGGAUAGCCCGGCGAAAGCCGGAUUAAUACCGCAUACGAUCUACGGAGGAAAGCGGGGGCCCUUCGGGCCUCGCGCUAUAGGGUUGGCCGAUGGCUGAUUAGCUAGUUGGUGGGGUAAAGGCCUACCAAGGCGACGAUCAGUAGCUGGUCUGAGAGGACGACCAGCCACACUGGGACUGAGACACGGCCCAGACUCCUACGGGAGGCAGCAGUGGGGAAUUUUGGACAAUGGGCGAAAGCCUGAUCCAGCAAUGCCGCGUGUGUGAAGAAGGCCUUCGGGUUGUAAAGCACUUUUGUCCGGAAAGAAAUCCUUGGCCCUAAUACGGUCGGGGGAUGACGGUACCGGAAGAAUAAGCACCGGCUAACUACGUG
rnacentral:rRNA from 1 species